CUACAAUUUACACUCGGCAAUUCCAUCUGAACUGCUUUUUUCCAAAAUGUCGUCUCUUGCUGCACGUACCGGCUGUGCGUUUCGUCCCAUGUAACCCUAAGUCUGAGGUUCUUCAUUGCAGUCCAAUGUGCUGUGCAGUGUGAUUUGUUGCAGCCAGCUGACGAAAGGUGUUCUUCUUGCAGGCUUGCUACCUGUACCAUUUAUGGCUUUCGUCACAUGUAGAAGCACUUCCAAACAAUUUAAAGUAAUUAAAUUGAUCAACUUUUUUACAGAUUAACAGCCUCUUGAGGUCUGAUCCUCUUUGUUGCAGUCCAUUGUGUACGUGAAUCUUGUGCAGCCAGCUAGUGAACGGUGUGGUGAGCUGUUGCAUGCAGAGUGUGGUGCUGGUGUCGUUCGUUCACUUAACAAUGAACCAUUCAGUCGUUCGCUUAUCAUUUCCAUGGACAGUUUUAUGUUUGAGCUGUUGAUGGUGUUGCUGUAUGAGGUACAGUGGUUUUGCAGUCCUUUUCCAGUUGACAGAUGCGCUAGAGCUUGUGCAGACUUGCAGUUGAACAUCAUACUUUAAUAUGUCAUUUGCCUAUGUUGGUGUCCAUGCAGUAUAUGCAGUGUUGUGCAAAAUAGUCGAUGUUGCCUGAUGGCUGUCGGGCUUAUUUUAUCGGCAGCAUUUUGUCGAUAUGUCGUGUCUUGCAACCUGUAUCGCUGUUGAGUUGAUUCGUUUGCCGCCGUUCCUUAGACUUGAUUCACCGGUGAAACUAAGAAGACGUUGCUGAAAUUCAAGAUUGAUCAAUAAAUUAUGUAGAUAAAUU